CGGGGCAUAGCUCAAUUGGCAGAGCGCCUGGUUUGGGACCAGGAGGUUCCCGGUUCGACCCCGGGUGCCCCGA
rnacentral:tRNA from 1 species